AACCCGACUCCAUGAAGCUGGAUCCGCUAGUAAUCGCGCAUCAGCCACGGCGCGGUGAAUACGUUCCCGGGCCUUGUACACACCGCCCGUCAAGCCAUGGAAGCCGGGAGUGCCUGAAGUGCGUGAGCGCAAGCAGCGCCCUAAGGUAAAACCGGUGACUGGGGCUAAGUCGUAACAAGGUACC
rnacentral:rRNA from 1 species